rnacentral:rRNA from 1 species
GAUGAACGCUAGCUACAGGCUUAACACAUGCAAGUCGAGGGGCAGCAUGGUCUUAGCUUGCUAAGGCCGAUGGCGACCGGCGCACGGGUGAGUAACACGUAUCCAACCUGCCGUCUACUCUUGGACAGCCUUCUGAAAGGAAGAUUAAUACAAGAUGCCAUCAUGAGUCCGCAUGUUCACAUGAUUAAAGGUAUUCCGGUAGACGAUGGGGAUGCGUUCCAUUAGAUAGUAGGCGGGGUAACGGCCCACCUAGUCUUCGAUGGAUAGGGGUUCUGAGAGGAAGGUCCCCCACAUUGGAACUGAGACACGGUCCAAACUCCUACGGGAGGCAGCAGUGAGGAAUAUUGGUCAAUGGGCGAGAGCCUGAACCAGCCAAGUAGCGUGAAGGAUGACUGCCCUAUGGGUUGUAAACUUCUUUUAUAAAGGAAUAAAGUCGGGUAUGGAUACCCGUUUGCAUGUACUUUAUGAAUAAGGAUCGGCUAACUCCGUGCCAGCAGCCGCGGUAAUACGGAGGAUCCGAGCGUUAUCCGGAUUUAUUGGGUUUAAAGGGAGCGUAGAUGGAUGUUUAAGUCAGUUGUGAAAGUUUGCGGCUCAACCGUAAAAUUGCAGUUGAUACUGGAUAUCUUGAGUGCAGUUGAGGCAGGCGGAAUUCGUGGUGUAGCGGUGAAAUGCUUAGAUAUCACGAAGAACUCCGAUUGCGAAGGCAGCCUGCUAAGCUGCAACUGACAUUGAGGCUCGAAAGUGUGGGUAUCAAACAGG